rnacentral:misc_RNA from 1 species
AAAGGCUGAGAAGGCUAGAGAGAAGACAUUAUCAGAUCAAUUUGAGGCGAAGAGAGCAAAGAACAAGGCCAGCAGGGAAAGAAAGAUUGCCAGAAGAGAGGAACGGUUGGCCCAGGGACCUGGAGAAAAACCAGCCGCCGCUGCCCCAGUUGCUGCGUCUCAAGCCACUCAGGUAUCAAAAAAAGCAAAGAAGUGAAGUUCUGAUCGUUCGUAGAUCCUUAAUUACUGUACUGGUUUUGACCACUUUUGUUGUCUUUCUUCUUGUCUUGGACAAUUUUCCUUGUUAUCAAAAUCCCAGACGAAUAGAUAUCUUCAUCUAUAGUUUUUCUAAUUUAUCAAUCGUUCCAUCUUUG